GAAUCUGAUCAGGAGCAAUAUCCAGAUAUUCAAACUGAAUCUAAUCAGGAGCAAUAUCCAGAUAUUCAAACUGAAUCUAAUCUGGAGCAAUAUCCAGAUACAAAACCAGAAUCUGAUCAGGAGCAAUAUCCAGAUAUUUAAACUGAACCUAAUCAGGAGCAGUAUCCAAAUAUCCAACUGAAUCUAAUCAGGAGCAAUAUCCAAAUAUCCAA